UACGUAGGGUGCGAGCGUUAAUCGGAAUUACUGGGCGUAAAGGGCUCGUAGGCGGCCAACUAAGUCAGACGUGAAAUCCCCAGGCUUAACCUGGGAACUGCGUCUGAUACUGGAUGGCUUGAAUCCGGGAGAGGGAUGCGGAAUUCCAGGUGUAGCGGUGAAAUGCGUAGAUAUCAGGAGGAACACCGGUGGCGAAGGCGGGUCUCUGGGCCGAUACUGACGUGAGGAGCGAAAAGCGUGGGGAGCGAACAGG
rnacentral:rRNA from 1 species